UACGUAGGGGGCAAGCGUUGUCCGGAAUUAUUGGGCGUAAAGAGCUCGUAGGCGGUCUGUCGCGUCGGCUGUGAAAACCUGCAGCUUAACUGUGGGCUUGCGGUCGAUACGGGCAUCACUGGAGUCCGGCAGGGGAGACUGGAAUUCCUGGUGUAGCGGUGAAAUGCGCAGAUAUCAGGAGGAACACCGGUGGCGAAGGCGGGUCUCUGGGCCGAUACUGACGCUGAGGAGCGAAAGCGUGGGGAGCGAACAGG
rnacentral:rRNA from 1 species